UACGUAGGGCGCAAGCGUUGUCCGGAAUUAUUGGGCGUAAAGAGCUCGUAGGCGGCUUGUCACGUCGGAUGUGAAAGCCCGAGGCUUAACCUCGGGUCUGCAUUCGAUACGGGCUAGCUAGAGUGUGGUAGGGGAGAUCGGAAUUCCUGGUGUAGCGGUGAAAUGCGCAGAUAUCAGGAAGAACACCCGUGGCGAAGGCGGUUCUCUGGGACGGUACUGACGCUGAGACGCGAAAGCGUGGGGAGCAAACAGG
rnacentral:rRNA from 1 species